rnacentral:rRNA from 1 species
CAACCCCUAUUGUUAGUUGCCAUCAUUCAGUUGGGCACGUCAGCGAGACUGCCGGUAAUAAACCGGAGGAAGUGGGAUGACGUCAAAUCAUCAUGCCCCUUAUGACCUGGGCUACACACGUGCUACAAUGGUUGGUACAACGAGUUGCGAGUCGGUGACGGCGAGCUAAUCUCUUAAAGCCAAUCUCAGUUCGGAUUGUAGGCUGCAACUCGCCUACAUGAAGUCGGAAUCGCUAGUAAUCGCGGAUCAGCACGCCGCGGUGAAUACGUUCCCGGGCCUU